rnacentral:tRNA from 1 species
GUUAGGUUAGCAGAUAUAAUGUGUUUGAUUUAGGCUCAAAUGGAGAAGUAACUUUCACCUGAUA